rnacentral:rRNA from 1 species
AACUUAAGCAUAUCAAUAAGCGGAGGAAAAGAAACCAACAGGGAUUGCCCUAGUAACGGCGAGUGAAGCGGCAACAGCUCAAAUUUGAAAUCUGGCUCUCUUUGGGGGUCCGAGUUGUAAUUUGCAGAGGAUGCUUUGGCAUUGGCGGCGGUCUAAGUUCCUUGGAACAGGACAUCGCAGAGGGUGAGAAUCCCGUACGUGGGCGCCUGCCUUUGCCGUGUAAAGCUCCUUCGACGAGUCGAGUUGUUUGGGAAUGCAGCUCUAAAUGGGAGGUAAAUUUCUUCUAAAGCUAAAUACCGGCCAGAGACCGAUAGCGCACAAGUAGAGUGAUCGAAAGAUGAAAAGUACUUUGGAAAGAGAGUCAAAAAGCACGUGAAAUUGUUGAAAGGGAAGCGCUUGCAGCCAGACUUGCCCGCAGUUGCUCACCUAGGCUUUGGCCUGGGGCACUCUUCUGCGGGCAGGCCAGCAUCAGUUUGGGCGGUUGGAUAAAGGCCUCUGUCACGUAUCUUCCUUCGGGAUGACCUUAUAGGGGAGGCGUAAUGCAACCAGCCCGGACUGAGGUCCGCGCAUCUGCUAGGAUGCUGGCGUAAUGGCUGUAAGCGGCCCGUCUUGAAACACGGACCAAGGAGUCUAACAUCUAUGCGAGUGUUUGGGUGUCAAGCCCGGGCGCGCAAUGAAAGUGAACGGAGGUGGGAACCCUUUGGGUGCACCAUCGACCGAUCCUGAUGUCUUCGGAUGGAUUUGAGUAAGAGCAUAGCUGUUGGGACCCGAAAGAUGGUGAACUAUGCUUGAAUAGGGUGAAGCCAGAGGAAACUCUGGUGGAGGCUCGCAGCGGUUCUGACGUGCAAAUCGAUCGUCAAAUUUGGGCAUAGGGGCGAAAGACUAAUCGAACCAUCUAGUAGCUGGUUCCUGCCGAAUUUCCCCU